rnacentral:rRNA from 1 species
UACGUAGGGGGCUAGCGUUGUCCGGAAUCAUUGGGCGUAAAGAGCGUGUAGGCGGCCACUUAAGUCCUGCGUGAAAUCUUGCGGCUCAACCGCAAGCGGUCGUGGGAAACUGGGUGGCUAGAGUGCGGGAGAGGAGAGUGGAAUUCCUGGUGUAGCGGUGAAAUGCGUAGAUAUCGGGAGGAACACCUGUGGCGAAAGCGGCUCACUGGACCACAACUGACGCUGAGGCGCGAAAGCUAGGGGAGCAAACAGG